rnacentral:rRNA from 1 species
CCUACGGGAGGCAGCAGUGAGGAAUAUUGGUCAAUGGGCGUAAGCCUGAACCAGCCAUGUCGCGUGAGGGAUGAAGGUUCUAUGGAUCGUAAACCUCUUUUAUAAGGGAAUAAAGGGUGGUACGUGUCCUAUUUUGUAUGUACCUUAUGAAUAAGGAUCGGCUAACUCCGUGCCAGCAGCCGCGGUAAUACGGAGGAUUCGAGCGUUAUCCGGAUUUAUUGGGUUUAAAGGGUGCGUAGGCGGUCAUUUAAGUGAGCGGUGAAAUUCUGUGGCUCAACCAUGGAAUUGCCGUUGAAACUGGUGGGCUAGAGUAUGUUUGAGGCAGGCGGAAGGAGUGGUGUAGCGGUGAAAUGCUUAGAGAUCACACAGAACACCGAUUGCGAAGGCAGCUUGCCAAGCCAUGACCGACGCUGAUGCACGAAAGCGUGGGGAUCAAACAGGAUUAGAUACCCGGGUAGUC